rnacentral:rRNA from 1 species
AGAGUUUGAUCCUGGCUCAGGACGAACGCUGGCGGCGUGCCUAAUACAUGCAAGUCGAGCGGACCGACGGGAGCUUGCUCCCUUAGGUCAGCGGCGGACGGGUGAGUAACACGUGGGUAACCUGCCUGUAAGACUGGGAUAACUCCGGGAAACCGGGGCUAAUACCGGAUGCUUGAUUGAACCGCAUGGUUCAAUCAUAAAAGGUGGCUUUUAGCUACCACUUGCAGAUGGACCCGCGGCGCAUUAGCUAGUUGGUGAGGUAACGGCUCACCAAGGCGACGAUGCGUAGCCGACCUGAGAGGGUGAUCGGCCACACUGGGACUGAGACACGGCCCAGACUCCUACGGGAGGCAGCAGUAGGGAAUCUUCCGCAAUGGACGAAAGUCUGACGGAGCAACGCCGCGUGAGUGAUGAAGGUUUUCGGAUCGUAAAACUCUGUUGUUAGGGAAGAACAAGUACCGUUCGAAUAGGGCGGUACCUUGACGGUACCUAACCAGAAAGCCACGGCUAACUACGUGCCAGCAGCCGCGGUAAUACGUAGGUGGCAAGCGUUGUCCGGAAUUAUUGGGCGUAAAGCGCGCGCAGGCGGUUUCUUAAGUCUGAUGUGAAAGCCCCCGGCUCAACCGGGGAGGGUCAUUGGAAACUGGGGAACUUGAGUGCAGAAGAGGAGAGUGGAAUUCCACGUGUAGCGGUGAAAUGCGUAGAGAUGUGGAGGAACACCAGUGGCGAAGGCGACUCUCUGGUCUGUAACUGACGCUGAGGCGCGAAAGCGUGGGGAGCGAACAGGAUUAGAUACCCUGGUAGUCCACGCCGUAAACGAUGAGUGCUAAGUGUUAGAGGGUUUCCGCCCUUUAGUGCUGCAGCAAACGCAUUAAGCACUCCGCCUGGGGAGUACGGUCGCAAGACUGAAACUCAAAGGAAUUGACGGGGGCCCGCACAAGCGGUGGAGCAUGUGGUUUAAUUCGAAGCAACGCGAAGAACCUUACCAGGUCUUGACAUCCUCUGGCAACCCUAGAGAUAGGGCUUCCCCUUCGGGGGCAGAGUGACAGGUGGUGCAUGGUUGUCGUCAGCUCGUGUCGU